rnacentral:rRNA from 1 species
UACGUAGGGGGCAAGCGUUGUCCGGAGUUACUGGGCGUAAAGGGCGCGCAGGCGGUCUGGCAAGUUUGGAGUGACAGUGCUCGGCUUAACUGAGCAAGGCCUUCGAAAACUGCUAGACUUGAGCACUCAAGAGGGACAUAGAAUUCCUGGUGUAGCGGUGAAAUGCGCAGAUAUCAGGAGGAACACCUAUGGCGAAGGCAGCUGCGCUAGGGACGGUACUGACGCUGAGGCGCGAAAGCGUGGGGAGCGAACAGG